rnacentral:rRNA from 1 species
CACUGUGAGCGACUAGCCGGCGUAUUAUACAUCCAUCGCCUAACGGGUAAUUAACGCGUGGCAACGUCCCUUUUGGUUCGGAACACCACUGGGAAACUUGUGCUAUUCCCGGAUAACCCCUUACGGGGAAAAAUUUAUCGCCCAAAAAUCGGCCCGCGUCUGAUUACCUAUUUGGUGAGGUAUUGGCUCACCAAGGCGACAAUCAGAAUUUGGUCUGAGAGGAUGACCACCCCCAUUGGGACUGAACCACGGCCCAACUCAAUACGGGAGGCAGCAUGGGGGAAUAUUGAACAAGGGGGGCAACCCUGAUCCACCCUUGCCGCGGGAGUGAUGAAGGCCCUAGGGUUGUAAAGCUCUUUUGUGCGGGAAAAUAAGGACGGUCCCGCAGGAAUAAGCCCGGGCUAAUUUCGUGCCAGCAGCCGCGGGUAAUACGAAGGGGGCUAGCGUUGCUCGGAAUCACUGGGCGUAAGGGGUGCGUAGGCGGGUCUUUAAGUCAGGGGGUGAAAUCCUGGAGCUCACCUCCGAGAACUGCCUUUGAUACUGAAGAUCUUGAGUCGGGGAGAGGUGAGUGGAACUGCGAUUGUAGAGGUGAAAUUCGUAGAUAUUCGCAAGAACACCAGUGGCGAAGGCGGCUCACUGGCCCGGUACUGACGCUGAGGCACGAAAGCGUGGGGGAGCAAACAGGAUUAGAUACCCCUGGUAGUCCACGCCGUAAACGAUGAAUGCCAGCCGUUAGUGGGUUUACUCACUAGUGGCGCAGCUAACGCUUUAAGCAUUCCGCCUGGGGAGUACGGUCGCAAGAUUAAAACUCAAAGGAAUUGACGGGGGCCCGCACAAGCGGUGGAGCAUGUGGUUUAAUUCGACGCAACGCGCAGAACCUUACCAGCCCUUGACAUGUCCAGGACCGGUCGCAGAGAUGUGACCCUCUCUUCGGAGCCUGGAGCACAGGUGCUGCAUGGCUGUCGUCAGCUCGUGUCGUGAGAUGUUGGGUUAAGUCCCGCAACGAGCGCAACCCCCGUCCUUAGUUGCUACCAUUUAGUUGAGCACUCUGAGGAGACUGCCGGUGAUAAGCCGCGAGGAAGGUGGGGAUGACGUCAAGUCCUCAUGGCCCUUACGGGCUGGGCUACACACGUGCUACAAUGGCGGUGACAAUGGGAUGCUAAGGGGCGACCCUUCGCAAAUCUCAAAAAGCCGUCUCAGUUCGGAUUGGGCUCUGCAACUCGAGCCCAUGAAGUUGGAAUCGCUAGUAAUCGUGGAUCAGCACGCCACGGUGAAUACGUUCCCGGGCCUUGUACACACCGCCCGUCACACCAUGGGAGUUGGUUUUACCUGAAGACGGUGCGCUAACCCGCAAGGGAGGCAGCCGG